rnacentral:tRNA from 1 species
UCCUUGUUAGUAUAGUGGCCAGUAUCUCUGCCUGUCAAGCAGAAGAUUGGGGUUCAAGUCCCCAAUCUGGAG